rnacentral:lncRNA from 1 species
UAUGGUCUAAAAUAGUCUCCUCGAGCCUGGUUUGGUAAGUUCAGUACAGUUAUUCAGGAUUUUGGCAUGACUCGUAGUGAAGCUGAUCACUCUGUAUUUUAUCGACAUUCUGCUUCAAAUCUCUAUAUUUAUCCGGUCAUUUAUGUUGACGAUAUUGUUAUUACCAGCAAUGAUCAGGAUAGUAUUAGUAAGUUGAAGCAACAUCUCUUUCAGCACUUUUAGACUAAGGAUCUGGGCAGAUUAAAGUAUUUUCUGGGUAUUGAGGUUGCUCAGUCUAGCUCAGUUAUUGUGAUCUCACAACGGAAGUAUGCCUUAGAUAUUCUUGAGGAGACAGGAACGACAUGUCGAAGACCUGUUGACACCCCCGAUGGAUCCGAAUUCUAAACUUCUGCCAGGUCAAUGGUGGGAAUGAUAGGUUGUAGACCUGUUGACACUGCGAUGGAUCCGAAUUCUAAACUUUUGCCAGGACAGGAGGAGCCUUUUAGCGAUCC